rnacentral:rRNA from 1 species
UACGUAGGGGGCAAGCGUUGUCCGGAAUCAUUGGGCGUAAAGAGCGCGUAGGCGGCCCUGUAAGUCCGCUGUGAAAGUCAAGGGCUCAACCCUUGGAUGCCGGUGGAUACUGCAGGGCUAGAGUCCGGAAGAGGCGAGUGGAAUUCCUGGUGUAGCGGUGAAAUGCGCAGAUAUCGGGAGGAACACCGAUGGCGAAGGCAGCACUCUGGGCCGGUACUGACGCUGAGGAGCGAAAGCGUGGGGAGCGAACAGG